GUCCUUCUAGCUCAGAUUGUGAUGGACCUGGAAUGCGACACCAGUUACUCUUAAGUCAAGAACCAAAUGAAGCACCAGAGUACAGAUUAUAGAGGUUCCUUGUAAAGAUGAACCCAGGGAAGGAUCGAAAGUGGAGAAGACCAGAUCAAGAAAGACUACAUCAAGAUCUGCGGUCAGUUCAAAGGAUGUUUUGCAUUGGACUGUUUUUUUUGGCUUUGACCCUUGCUCGCCCCUGACCUCACUCUUUAACUGCCCUGUUGGAUUUUCAGUUUAUUUAUUUUUUUUUUAUUUAUUUAUUUUUUUUUUUGGUUCUGGGUAGAUGCUAAUAAAUAUUUAGUUGUAAUUAUUUAAAUAAUGUUUUUUUGUUAAAUAUGUGAUUUCUGUGUUUGUUCUGUCUACUCGUACUUGUUUAUCUUGUUUCUGUAAUUAUCAUUUGUUUAUUUGACCCCUGCCUCGCCUCUGAUCUUGUUUUUGAAUUGCCCUUUAUAUGUCUUUUUAAUUAUUGGUUCUGGUUAUAUGGUUAUAAAA
rnacentral:lncRNA from 1 species